ACCAGUUAUUAUUAAAAUCAUUUAGAAGUCCCCACUGACGUCUAAGACGAGGAUAAACAUCAUACAUGUCGUAAAGUAUUAGUAGCUGUUAUUCAUAUAGUGAAAUAAUAUAUUAAUAAAUAACAAUAUGAAAAUUCUACUGAUACUCAUGAUGUCUUUGUUAUUUGUAAACAUCUGCUAUUCGAGAUCGAUGCCUUGGCCCGAUUCCUGGGAGGAGUUUGAAGUUGACAAAGAUGGCUUUCCCAAAGGCUGGUUUUUCGGCAAGUGCGAUGGAUGUAGAGUGACAAACAUAGGAAAUGGACGAGAAAACACUAACACUGUGUAUAUAAAAACGUAACAAUGGAUUUUUAAAUAAAGUCUUUUAGGACCCGAUUUCACCGAUAAUUUCGAAUGCAAUCAAAGUCAUAAUACAAAAUGUGUUUUAACGCGAUGAAACUGAGUUCGUUUUGAGGUGAAAUAGGUCCUUAGUGUUAGAAUUUAUUUUAUUAUACAUUUAAUAUACACAUUCAAUAUACUACUGUACACACUAAAUACUUUAAUGUUGUCUUCUCAUAAUACAUACAUUUUACUAAGCGUAUUAUUAGUUAUUAUAUAAACCAAGUCGUAUAAAAUAUAAUUUUCCAUUUCCAUAGUAUUUUAUUUUUCAUCGCUUCGUAUUCAAUAGCUCAGGGUUCGUGAUAUUAAACAAUAUUAUGUAAAUAA